CGUAGGCGGUCUCUAAAGUCAGAUGUGAAAGCCCGGGGCUUAACCCCGGAAGUGCAUUUGAAACUUAGGGACUUGAGUAUGGGAGAGGGAAGUGGAAUUCCUGGUGUAGCGGUGAAAUGCGUAGAUAUCAGGAGGAACACCAGUGGCGAAGGCGACUUCCUGGACCAAUACUGACGCUGAGGCGCGAAGGCGUGGGGAGCAACA
rnacentral:rRNA from 1 species